rnacentral:rRNA from 1 species
AUUGAACGCUGGCGGCAGGCCUAACACAUGCAAGUCGAACGAGUGGCGGACGGGUGAGUAAUGUCUGGGAAACUGCCUGAUGGAGGGGGAUAACUACUGGAAACGGUAGCUAAUACCGCAUACCAUCGGAUGUGCCCAGAUGGGAUUAGCUAGUAGGUGGGGUAAAGGCUCACCUAGGCGACGAUCCCUAGCUGGUCUGAGAGGAGGACCAGCCACACUGGAGCGGAUACACGGUCCAUAAGCCUACGGUAGGCAGAAGUGGGGAAUAUUGCACAAUGGUCGCAAGCCUAGUGCAGCCAUGCCGCGUGUAUGAAGAAGCCCUGCGGGUUGUAGAGUACUUGCAUCGGGGAGGCGUUACCCGCAGAAGAAGCACCGGCUAACUCCGUGCCAGCAGCCGCGGUAAUUC